rnacentral:rRNA from 1 species
AUUGAACGCUGGCGGCAGGCCUAACACAUGCAAGUCGAGCGGAGCGGCGGACGGGUGAGUAAUGCCUAGGAAUCUGCCUGGUAGUGGGGGAUAACGUCCGGAAACGGGCGCUAAUACCGCAUACUAUCAGAUGAGCCUAGGUCGGAUUAGCUAGUUGGUGGGGUAAAGGCCUACCAAGGCGACGAUCCGUAACUGGUCUGAGAGGAUGAUCAGUCACACUGGAACUGAGACACGGUCCAGACUCCUACGGGAGGCAGCAGUGGGGAAUAUUGGACAAUGGGCGAAAGCCUGAUCCAGCCAUGCCGCGUGAGUGAAGAAGGUUUUCGGAUCGUAAAGCUCUGUUGUAAGAGAAGCGGUACCUGAAGAAUAAGCACCGGCUAACUACGUGCCAGCAGCCGCGGUAAUAC